UGAAACUGCGUACAGCUCAUUAUAUCAGUUAUUAUUUAUUUGAUGGUACCUUACUACAUGGAUACCCGUAGUAAUUCUAGAGCUAAUACAUGCGUCAAGUCCCGACUCUUUGGAAGGGAUGUAUUUAUUAGAUAAAAAACCAAUGCAGGUAACUGCUCUCUUGGUGAUUCAUAGUAACUUUAACGGAUCGCACGGCUUUACGUCGGCGACAGUUCAUUCAAAUUUCUGCCCUAUCAGCUUUCGACGGUACUGUAGUGGACUACCGUGGCAUCAACAGGUGACGGAGAAUUAGGGUUCGAUUCCGGAGAGGGAGCCUGAGAAACGGCUACCACAUCCAAGGAAGGCAGCAGGCGCGCAAAUUACCCAAUCCUGACACAGGGAGGCAGUGACAAAAAAUAACA
rnacentral:rRNA from 1 species